UGUACUAGUUCUGCAACUAGUUACGCGGGAAGCGAACGCGGACCAGUCGAAAAAGAACCGAAAAACGAAGCCGCCUUCGGUUUGUUUUUGAAGGCGGCAAAUAACCGCAAUUCCGUGGAGUUACAGUGCCCACUCAGCUAGUUUUUACCGAGCCACGACAUGCAAUAAGCACCGAAAUGGUAAGUUAAUCGUGAUAUUUUACUGUAGUUGCGCUCGUGGAAUGAAAGAGACAAGAAUUUACACAAACAAAAUGCAUUUGUUUUCCUCGUUUGCUUUAUGCGUUGAUUUUGUUCACUUCUGUACAACAUCUAAUCGCUGGAAGAGUCUUUUGUGUAAACAUUUAUUAAAAAAGUGGAAAAGAAUUAAUAAAUAAAUCAAAUUAAUAUAAACAGAAUGUAUUCCGCCUGGCGAUGAGCCCCCCGAAAACACUGUGCGGAAGGCAAUGCAAAGGAUGAAGAAAAGGGUGUUUAA